rnacentral:piRNA from 1 species
GGUGAAGGUGCUUGAAGGAGCGCAAAAU